CCCAGACUCCUACGGGAGGCAGCAGUGAGGAAUAUUGGUCAAUGGGCGGGAGCCUGAACCAGCCAAGUCGCGUGAGGGAAGACGGUCCUACGGAUUGUAAACCUCUUUUGCCGGGGAGCAACGGGGUCCUUGCGAGGGCCCGAUGAGAGUACCCGGAGAAAAAGCAUCGGCUAACUCCGUGCCAGCAGCCGCGGUAAUACGGAGGAUGCGAGCGUUAUCCGGAUUUAUUGGGUUUAAAGGGUGCGUAGGCGGGCUGUUAAGUCAGCGGUCAAAGGUCGGGGCCCAACCCCGGCCUGCCGUUGAAACUGGCGGCCUCGAGUGGGCGAGAAGUAUGCGGAAUGCGUGGUGUAGCGGUGAAAUGCUUAGAGAUCAUACAGAACACCGAUUGCGAAGGCAGCUUACCAAGCUACUUCUGACGUUGAGGCACGAAAGCGUGGGGAGCAAACAGGAUUAGAUACCCCUGUAA
rnacentral:rRNA from 1 species